rnacentral:rRNA from 1 species
UACAGAGGGGGCGAGCGUUGUUCGGAAUUACUGGGCGUAAAGGGCGCGUAGGCGGCCUUCUAAGUCGAACGUGAAAUCCCCGGGCUCAACCCGGGAACUGCGUCCGAUACUGGGAGGCUUGAAUCCGGGAGAGGGAUGUGGAAUUCCAGGUGUAGCGGUGAAAUGCGUAGAUAUCUGGAGGAACACCGGUGGCGAAGGCGGCAUCCUGGACCGGUAUUGACGCUGAGGCACGAAAGCCAGGGGAGCAAACGGG